rnacentral:tRNA from 1 species
UAGGAAAUAGUAAAAAGGGAAUUACAGAGAGUUUUGAUCUCUUAGUUAUAGGUUCAAUUCCUAUUUUUCUAA